ACAUCAUUUUCACAAUUUUACACUAUACAUGGUACAAAAAAUAAACAAAGUUGUCCUCUAGUAUCUAUUUUAAUGGUAGAUCGUUCUAAAGAUUCAUAUAGUGAAGUUCUGAAAGCGUUAAAAUCUUUAGUUUCAAAUUUAACGCCCCAACGAAUUAUGGUUGAUUUUGAAAUGGCCUUCAUAUCAGCUUAUAAAGCUGAAUUUCCUACAACAGAAAUUAAAGGUUGUUUUUUCCAUUUUCAACAAUGUUUAUGGCGGAAAAUUCAAAGUUGUGGAUUACAAAAAAUGUAUGGUGAUGACGUUGAGUUUUUUCUAUUCAAAUACGAUCGUUGAGUGCUUUGGCGUUUAUUCCAAUAAUUAAUGUUAUUCAGACUUUUGAAAUACGUGUAAGUACGUGUAAGAUAAGUACUGGGUGACCAAAUCGUUACAAUCGGAAACGCUCACCACAGUUUGAUUUUUGCUUGUGGAACUGUUAUGAUUCAGUACUUAAACAUCAACUACAGACCAAUAACGCGGUCGAAGAUUGGCAUCAUGCGUUUAACAGUGGACUUGCAGCAAAUCAUGUUACAAUUUGGAGAUUUAUAUAUUUUCAUAAACAAGAACAGUCCCUACAAGAGGUCAAAAUGGAACAAUCUUUGUCGGGUGAACCAAGUCUGAAAAAAAGAAAAAAGUACAAUGAUAACGAUGAACAACUAUUUAAAAUGUGGUCUCCAAUUGGUAGUUGCAACCCAGCCCCCUGAGGCUUAGAUCCAGCACUGGGCAUAUCGUAAGCCAUAAGUCAUAACUGUUAAGAGGACUCAGUAACCGCAUGUGUUGUCUCCAUCUAGUUCGUCUUACAAGUGUGCAACAUAGCAAAUUUACGUUCAGCAGAUCACGUUUAGCUCCGUUAAUUUAAAAAUUAGAGUGAAUUGACCUAAUAUGAAACUUAACUGUAAGAACAUUAUCUAUAUUUGUAUGUUGGUUUUUUACGAUUGUACAGUUUUUAAGUGAGUUAUGAUAAGAGUUAAUUAACGCUAAAUUAUAUACGAAUAACUUGCUAAAAAAUUAAGCUAGGGAGACCGGGUGCAAAUGUAACAUGGAUCAAUUGUAACACGCUGAAUAUUUUCCUCUAUUAUAUAUUUUUAUUCUACUGUUUGAGCAAUCAAAAUAAAAAAAUCGUGUUCGAUAAAAAAAUUUAAUGGUUGUAAAAAAAGUAUUCAUUCAAGGAAUGGUUUUAUUCAACCCGGUUAAUGUAUAUUGUUUUUAUUAUUUUAAUUUUAAUUUUAUGAAGUAUUCAAGUUGUUGUCAAACAUGUUAAUAUAUAUAUUUACAUUUUUUACAAAUGUAUAAAAUAUUAUAGCUAAGUUAAUGAAAAAUUUCAUUGAAGUA